GAGCUUAUAGCCUACAUCCAAAAACAGCAAUACAGCUAUACACUUAAACCCAAAUAGACCAACAACAAUAUCACUUAAUUAUUUUCUUUUACUCAUACAUUAAUUGUUAAUUAUGUUUAAGAAUGUGAAACACUUACAUACGCUUAUUUUUGUAAACAUUCGGGUCAGGCUCGGACAGAGAAUCUAAACUCUGUGACAGAGCUACACUGAGGAACCCUGAGUGGUCUGGUAAGCCAGGGCACUAUCAGCUAACGGUUUGUCCUACGUAGCAUGUUUUAACAUGGUAAACAUGCAGACUACAGUCUGGAGAAACUGAACUGAAACUCCUUUAAAAUGCUGACCUUCGGCAAUAGAAGUCCUGUGGUUAUGGCAUGGAUAAGAAUGCGCUUAAUAUAGUCCCUAGCUUAAAUUAUCGCGAUAUCCGAUAAUACCGUUUAUCAGCCUAGGCUAGUUGUCACUUCCAGGACUGGAGGCAAAUUAUCGUGGAGCUAAUUCACAGCUUCAAUUAUUCUGUGCCAUAACAAAAUUCGUUCGGGCCAUUUUUUUGAAACAGCAAGGCAUGAUUACAUUUAACAAGCACUUCCCUAAAGUUAUUUUCUUAUUUCAGCAUCUUGGCCUUCACAUUCUGAGAGCAGCUCCGACAAGCUGUUUGAGUGAUGUGGAACCAACACCAGAGCGUUUGGCAAAGUCUAAAACAGUAGAAGGAUCAGCAGAUGUGGCAAAAAUGGUGGUCCUUGCUGCUUUACAACAGAGAGCAGGUGGAGAUGCUGUUCUUACUGAAUAUGGCUCAAAUAAUACACUGUCAAGUGAGACUAGAUGAGUUCUGGUCAACAUAGUGGUUGGACAUAUGAUGGAGAUGCAUGGGAGGAUUCCCACACGAAGGCAAAAAGAGAAAUAUGCUCUUGGUAUUGUGACAGUUUUUCCAUCACUUCGUGAUCCUUUCUCAAAGAAAGGCUAUAUAAACCAAGAUUUCACCCUUCUCUUCAGUGCUGAAACAGCUUCCAAGAUGUUACAGAGAUGGGACACCACCUUCAAAACAAGAAUCAUUGAAGAAGCUGUGGGCCUGACCUUGACGUCUCCUGUGCGCUCCCUUUUGUUGUCAGCAAGAAAAGAAAAGGACACUGAAGAUCAGUUCAAUUGGGACAGUGACAUGGCCACUCUGCUUUUGCUUACGCAUCUGCUUCCACCUCCACCUGGCGGAAAGAGGGCUGUGAAAAUUAGUGCUGCAGAUGCUGCGGACAGACUUGUGGUGCAUCAUAAGCAUUGAUGAACAUCUUUGACAGAAAGAAGAACGACAGCCAUACCUUCUUGCUGUAGGACAAAGCCGAGGCCAGAUAGACAGUUACUACAUAGUCCUUGACAAGAAACUCAUCCCAUGUCAAGCGCUGUCUACCAGAGAUUGAUGUUGGAAAAACAAGAGUCCUCAAGAGUAAAGGAACUACGUGCAAAGCUGCUGAACAUCUAGAGGAAACUAGAAUUUCAGAAUAUUUUCUUGUUUUAGAUGCAGUGCAUUGUAUGCAACGAGUCAAUUACUCAUUAGUCAUUUAAGAUUAGGCCAUGGUUUUUAUCCCAACUCAAAAUUUAAAUUGAUAUGUGACCAAGAAACAUGUAGAAGACAGUUUUCCACAUACUCUGGGUUUAGAAAACAUUUAGAUUCCAUUCAUCAGUUCCACAGUGAUACUGACGGUACUUCCUCUUUGAGGUGUGGUUUAUUGGCUCCUCUUUCAGAAAUUUUACCAUCCUCUUCGGCUCCAAAUUCAUGUGCACAGUCUCAGGCACAAACAGGGGAUUUUGAGGAAACUGAGUCUGGGGUUUCUCCUGAAUACAUGAAAAACAUGUGUGCAUCUGUUGUUGCAAAGAAAGUGAUGUUGCCACUAGUGUUGUCUCUUCUAUUGUUUGUGAUCUGGAAGAAUUUACAAAUGAGAUGCACUCUAAGCAUAAUAUUAAGCAUAAAGUACUCUCUGUAGUUCCUGAAUCAGUUCCUGUAAGGACAGCUGUAGAACAAAAUUUGGAAGAUUUUGAAAACCCCUUUGCUUGUUUUAAUUCUGAUGCUAAAAGGGAGAAGUACUUCACUGACAAAUGGGGUAUUGUUGAGCCAAUGCAAAAUUGUAUUGGGUGUCAGAUAUGAUGGUAGACGGGACAAGAAAACUGGUACUUGCAUUCAGAUGCCAGUGAACGACACCUUCAUUUAUGUUCCUAUUUUGGAAAGUCUGAAAUUCAUGUUCAGAAAUUCAGAGAUUUGUGAAGCGGUCAGAGCACAUACCUCAUCUCUUGGGAAUGUGUACAAGGACUUCAGUGAUGGAAGUUACUUUAAGAAUCAUCCUCUGUUUUCUAAGUUUCCAAAUGCAUUGCAAAUCCAGCUCUAUUACGAUGACUUUGAGACCGCCAAUCCUCUUGGCUCAAAACAUGGCGUUCACAAGAUAGGCUGCCUAUAUUUUGUGUUGCGAAACUUGCCACCAAAAUUCAAUUCUGCAGUCCUAAAUAUACAUUUAGUGUGUCUGUUUCACUUCCAAGACCUAAAGAUAUAUGGAUUUGAUCUGAUUUUACAGCCUUUGAUUUCAGACCUUAAAAUUCUUGAAAGUGAAGGAAUGUAUUUACCCAUAUCCAGUGGAAAGGUCUAUGGCACAAUCAGCCAAAUAACAGGAGAUAAUUUGGCAAUGCAUGCCAUUCUUGGUUUUACAGAGUCCUUCAGCGGGCAAUAUUUUUGCCGUUUGUGCUUGAUUGCUAAGGCUGAUGCCCAAAAUGUCUAUUGUGAGGAUGACCAUAGAGUUGUAAUGCCGUUCAACCUUCAGUGUGCUGAUGGACCAGAUGAUGGCAUGUAUGUGGUGCCACACUUUUGUUUGUUUUAGUCACUGUUUAAAUUAAUUUCAGAUUUGUUCAAACUUUCUUGAAAAGUGUUUGUGUGUGUAUUUUUACCCCCGCACAAAUGUUUUUAUACCAAAAAAGCAUCCAGUUAAUAAAACAAACAUUUUUCAGUA